rnacentral:pre_miRNA from 1 species
AGAGGAAUAGCUGGGUCAAAUGGUGGUUCCAUUCCCAGAUUUUCAAGGAAUCUCCAUAAUGCUUUCUAUAUUGGCUGCACCAAUUUGCAGUCCCACCAGCAAG